rnacentral:rRNA from 1 species
UACGUAGGGUGCAAGCGUUGUCCGGAAUUAUUGGGCGUAAAGAGCUCGUAGGCGGUCUGUCGCGUCGGCUGUGAAAACUCGGGGCUCAACCCCGAGCCUGCAGUCGAUACGGGCAGACUAGAGUCCGGCAGGGGAGACUGGAAUUCCUGGUGUAGCGGUGAAAUGCGCAGAUAUCAGGAGGAACACCGGUGGCGAAGGCGGGUCUCUGGGCCGGAACUGACGCUGAGGAGCGAAAGCGUGGGGAGCAAACAGG